UACGUAGGCAGCGAGCGUUGUUCGGAGUUACUGGGCGUAAAGGGUGUGUAGGCGGUUCUCUAAGUUUGGUGUGAAAUCUCCCGGCUCAACCGGGAGGGUGCGCCGAAAACUGGGGGACUCGAGUGCGGGAUGGGAGAGUAGAAUUCCUGGUGUAGCGGUGAAAUGCGUAGAUAUCAGGAGGAAUACCGGUGGUGUAGACGGCUCUCUGGACCGCCACUGACGCUGAGACGACGAAAGCGUGGGUAGCAAACAGG
rnacentral:rRNA from 1 species